UAAAAUUGUUUUAAUCUGUCAGAUUUUUUGUUUGUUUUUCUCAUCUAUUAUUUGGAUUUUGGCAAGAGGUACAACCCAAAUGCAGGGAAAGGUUGAGGAUCGAGGGGAGUUUGAUUCUGGCUGAGGUCAUACACAGGGAAGCAGUCCAUAAAGGCAAAGUCCAAAAAUCCUCACAGGAGGUCCAAAAAUUACGGGGCAAAACUUGAAACAUGAACAAAACAAGACUUGAAUAAAUUGGGACAGAAACAUUCGAACGAGGGAAAUAUACAAACAAGGUGCUUAAAACUGACAAUGCAAACCACAAAGUUUAUAUGCUAAUUAGGGUCAAUGAGCUACAUGUGAGGAGCUGCUGCACAGGGCAGCGGCCUGGCCAUGCCCCUGACACUUGCCAAGAGAUCUGGCUGUCUGUCUGUUGGGAUGACUGCUUUUGACAAAAAAAUGUAUGUAUUUCCAGAUGAGUGUGUUCCAGCACCCUCCCUUGAUGAGUGGCAAUACAUAGAAUUGACUUUGGUAGUCCUGUUUCUAUUCUGCUUCCUCACUGAACACUUCAAACACCAGCAGUCGACAACAGUGAAUGAAGGAAUCCAGAAAAACAACAUAUCCUCAUGAGGAUCAUAGGAGCCUAUCCCAGCUGUCGGGAGGUAGAGUACACGCUGAACUGGUUGCCAGCCAGACCAGAAAACCCAUCAACUGGAAGGAGUUCAGUCCUGGAGUGCGGCGCCUGAGACCGCUCGGCCAUCCUGACACUGACUUUGGGAAAGCCAACAGACACCCAAAUGUACUUAAAUAUCCCCAAAAUACUUCUGAGGCACUCCCUAAAUGGGAUGGAGUCAUGUACUCAACGAAUCAGAUAAAUUUGGUGCUGUAAAGCUGGUAUUUCCAGUUUUCCAUCGAGUGAUACUGCAUCAGAACAGGUAAUUCUGCCAGAACCCACCACUGACCUCAUGAUUUGAACUUAUCCCAAACCAAAAGACUGCGCGUUCGUUGUCGGCAGGACUCGAACCUGCGCAGGGAGACCCCAAUGGAUUUCUAGUCCAUCGCCUUAACCACUCGGCCACGACAACCUGACUGUGAGGCUUCCUCAAGCCUUCAUGUAUGAACGACAGCGUUGUUCUCCUCAAUAUCUGUCCAUGGUCAAUGUGCAAAGCCAUCCCAUGCUGGAGAAGCUGGUGCUCAGGUUGAAGUACAGCAUUCACGACACCUCGGAGAAGGUCCACUUGGCUUUUGUCGACAUGCUCCCCAAUUUCAAGGUGGUCGGUUCAGCCGAGGUACUCGAAGUCGCCGUUUGUGCUCAAGGGCCACUUCAUUAGCUCCAUCUCAUGUGGUCAAGAUGUACUUUGUCUGAUUAAAGAUGACUAAAGUCCUACGCAAAUGUGUAGCACGUUGUAGAACCUUUCAAACUUCCUUGGUGGCAUAUUUUUGGAUCAGAGACUUAACAGUAAAGCCAACAUUUUUUGGCCUGUGCCUUUCUGACAGCCACAACAUUUACACGCAGCCUUAAACACAAGCGGCGUUCUGCUUCGGUACCACAUGGGUACUUCGAGCAGGUUAUGUGGAGACUAAUAAUCUGGACUAAUUUGAGAAUUCCCCCCACGUUCCAAUCAGUGUCAACAAACCCCCGGAUGUAAAACAUCUUUAAAAGAUUCCAUAAUGAUAUCUCCUGUGGUGACUCACAGAUGACUGACGUUAUCAUGUGGAACAAGAGGAUUGCGACUCCAAGUGGAGUCUCAUCAUAAUAAUACUUACAAAAUACAUGCACAUUUUGACGAAUUCAACAUGAUUUUUGUAUGUAAUUUUUCAAUGGAAUGAUCGAAUGUUCAGACAUUUGAUCGGUGGAGCUCUGGUGGGUGA